UACAGAGGGUGCGAGCGUUAAUCGGAAUUACUGGGCGUAAAGCGUGCGCAGGCGGUUCGCUGUGUCCGAUGUGAAAGCCCCGGGCUUAACCUGGGAAUGGCAUUGGAAACUGGCGGGCUUGAGUGCGGCAGAGGGGGGUGGAAUUCCGCGUGUAGCAGUGAAAUGCGUAGAUAUGCGGAGGAACACCGAUGGCGAAGGCAAUCCCCUGGGCCUGCACUGACGCUCAUGCACGAAAGCGUGGGGAGCAAACAGG
rnacentral:rRNA from 1 species